UACGAAGGAUUCGAGCGUUAUCCGGAUUUAUUGGGUUUAAAGGGCGCGUAGGCGGCCUGUUAAGUCGAACGUGAAAUCCCCGGGCUCAACCCGGGAACUGCGUCCGAUACUGGCAGGCUUGAAUUCGGGAGAGGGAUGUGGAAUUCCAGGUGUAGCGGUGAAAUGCGUAGAUAUCUGGAGGAACACCGGUGGCGAAGGCGGCAUCCUGGACCGAUAUUGACGCUGAUGCGCGAAAGCCAGGGGAGCAAACGGG
rnacentral:rRNA from 1 species